GAUGAACGCUGGCGGCGUGCCUAAUACAUGCAAGUCGAGCGAACAGACGAGGAGCUUGCUCCUUUGACGUUAGCGGCGGACGGGUGAGUAACACGUAGGUAACCUACCUAUAAGACUGGGAUAACUUCGGGAAACCGGAGCUAAUACCGGAUAAUAUUUCGAAGCGCAUGGUUCGAUAGUGAAAGAUGGCUUUGCUAUCACUUAUAGAUGGACCUGCGCCGUAUUAGCUAGUUGGUAAGGUAACGGCUUACCAAGGCAACGAUACGUAGCCGACCUGAGAGGGUGAUCGGCCACACUGGAACUGAGACACGGUCCAGACUCCUACGGGAGGCAGCAGUAGGGAAUCGUCCGCAAUGGGCGAAAGCCUGACGGAGCAACGCCGCGUGAGUGAUGAAGGUCUUCGGAUCGUAAAACUCUGUUAUUAGGGAAGAACAAACGUGUAAGUAACUGUGCACGUCUUGACGGUACCUAAUCAGAAAGCCACGGCUAACUACGUG
rnacentral:rRNA from 1 species